CACCUGCCUGUGCUGGACUCCCAUUUCUCUCCAAUUUAUCCUAAGACAUAUUUCAGUCAUUUUUCCUUUGCCCUCGCCACCACCAUGCCUCCCAGCAGCACAGUUCGCGGCAGAACAGUCCUUGCGUACAGAAACUCAAUCCGGGUGACCAUUGCCUUGCACAGAGGAGUCCCUGCACCGUGAGUCAUGCUGCAGAGGCACACCUUUCCCUCUGUGAGCUGUUCUUACCCUCCAAGAUGCUUCAUUUUCUGAAGAUCCUCCUGAGAAUCAAAACACCAAGAGCUUGAUCUUAACACCUGCAUCCAACCACAGCCUUGGAAAUAUGUGUCAUUAUGUAAUCAACAUGAGCAAGCCAUCGAGUCGCAACUGGGAACACCCAAAUUGGCUGUGCACGCUCAGAUGGGAAGGCAAAGAGCCACGGGUACUGGUGUGUUACAAAACACACACGAUCCAAUUUUUACCUGGAGUAAAAUGAUGAACACAUUAAGUAACUUCAGCUAUCCCCCGUCUGUCUGCAGAAGUAGGACCUUGCUGUCUUCUGGCAUUUGGCAUCAACCCGUACGCUGACUACCUCAUCUUGGAAGUGUAC